rnacentral:rRNA from 1 species
UACGUAGGGACCGAGCGUUGUCCGGAAUCAUUGGGCGUAAAGAGCGUGUAGGCGGCCACUUAAGUCUUGCGUGAAAUCUUGCGGCUCAACCGCAAGCGGUCGUGGGAAACUGGGUGGCUAGAGUGCGGGAGAGGAGAGUGGAAUUCCUGGUGUAGCGGUGGAAUGCGCAGAUAUCAGGAAGAACACCCGAGGCGAAGGCGGCUCUCUGGAACGCAACUGACGCUGAGACGCGAAAGCGUGGGGAGCAAACAGG